AUAAUUAUUAUUAUUUUUAAGAGAUAGGUAGUACGCUAUCCGUUUCGUUUAUUUUAUUUAAAAAUAAAUUUAGCUAAAAAUGUAAAUCAAUUAGGAUUUAAAUUUGGAACCUCGGAUACCAACCAUCAAGCUCUUAAAAAUAAUAAUAAUUAUUUAUUUAUUUAUUUAUUUAUUUAUAAUUAAUUAAUUUAUUAUUUAUAAUUAAUUAAUAAUAAUUAGAUAAUUAUUAUAAUUAAUUAUUAAUAAUUUUUAAUAUUUAUCAUUAUUUAUUAAUAAUAAAUUAAUAGAUAUUAUCCUUAAUAAUUAGAUAAUCGAUAGUAUUAUUAAUUUAUUAUUUAUAAUUAAUUAUUAAUAAUUAUUAAUUAGACAAUCGUUAUUAUUAUUAAUUAGAUAUUCAAUAUUAUUAAUUUAUUAUUUAUAAUUAAUUAUUAAUAAUUAUUAUUUAUUAUUAUUAUUUAUUAUUAAUUAUUAAUAAUCAAUUUAUUAUUUAUUUUUAAGUAAUAUUUUGAUGUUAAUUAAUUACAUAAUAUAAUUUUAAUUUAAAAUUGUAACUCUUAUUCUUCUUCUUCCAAUCUAACAAUCCAAACACUAUUUAUCUUUUUCCUAGGAACAACCCAAUUUUCAUCCCAACAUAAAAUUGGUCUAGUUCCUGCUUAUACCUGAACUUGUACCUAUCCCUAGAACUAGCAGUUCUUACUUAUAUCCGAACCAAACGCAGCCUUAGAUUUCAAGUUUCGCUACCCAAUAUCCAAAAACGUUAAAUCUUUGACUUUUUUACCGUGAUAUCAACUUGGAACAUGGUUUUACAUAAUCCAACAUGAAGUACAAUAGUGGCAAAAUGCAAAAUGUUUGAUUGCUAUGAGAGUCGUUAAUUUUGUUAAGAUAUAUGCAGAAUUGACAGAUGAGGUAAGAGAUGAAAAUUUAAUGUGGAAAUUGAUGUUGAAUGCGGAAAUUGAAGAAUCCACGACCUUACGAAAUGGUAGAAAUCUAGGAUUAGCUUUGAUACCAUGUUACCCAAACAAUCGUUGUGAUAGAAAAUAGUCAAAAAAAUAUGUUUAACAUGUGAGACCCAAGAUUUGAAAUAGUUUUAUAUAUAAGGUAUGUUUAAGAUUAAAAAAAUUCAAAUU
rnacentral:lncRNA from 1 species